AGGUCUUAACAGAAAACAUACCUGGAAUACCUCAAUCUGCGUCGCGACCUGCUAGAAAAAAAGAAAAGGCGACAUUAGACAUACACAAAGGUCUUAACAGAAAACAUACCUGGAAUUCCUCAAUCUGCGUCGCGACCUGCUAGAAAAAAAAGAAAAGGCGACAUUAGACAUACACAAAGGUCUUAACAGAAAACAUACCUGCGAAUUUCCAAUCUGCGUCAAGCCCUGCAGAAAAAAGAAAAGACAACAUUAGACAUACACAAAGGUCUUAACAGAAAACAUACCUGAAAAUCCUCAAUCUGCGUCGCGCCCUGCAAAAAAAAAAAAAAGGCCACACAACCUAAAGGAAUUUCCAAUCUGCGUCAAGACCUGCUAGAAAAAAAGAAAAGGCGAAAUUAGACAUACACAAAGGUCUUAACAGAAAACAUACCUGAAAAUCCUCAAUCUGCAUCGCGCCCUGCUAGAAAAAAAGAAAAGUCGACAUUAGACAUACACAAAGGCCUUAACAGAAAACAUACCUGAAUCUCAAUCUGCGUCGCGCCCUGCUAGAAAAAAAAGAAAAGACAACAUUAGACAUACACAAAGGUCUUAACAGAAAACAUACCUGGGAAUCCUCAAUCUGCGUCGCGCCCUGCUAGAAAAAAAAGAAAAGACAACAUUAGACAUACACAAAGGUCUUAACAGAAAACAUACCUGGAAUCCUCAAUCUGCGUCGCGCCCUGCCAGAAAAAAAAAGAAAAGGCAACAUUAGACAUACACAAAGGUCUUAACAGAAAACAUACCUGCGAAUCUCCAAUCUGCGUCGCGCCCUGCUAGAAAAAAAGAAAAGACAACAUUAGACAUACACAAAGGUCUUAACAGAAAACAUACCUGAAAAUCCUCAAUCUGCGUCGCGCCCUGCUAGAAAAAAAAGAAAAGACAACAUUAGACAUACACAAAGGUCUUAACAGAAAACAUACCUGGAAUUCCUCAAUCUGUCGUUCGCGACCUGCUAGAAAAAAAGAAAAGGACAACAUUAGACAUACACAAAGGUCUUAACAGAAAACAUACCUGGGAAUCCUCAAUCUGCGUCACGCCCUGCUAGAAAAAAGAAAAGGCGAAAUUAGACAUACACAAAGGUCUUAACAGAAAACAUACCUGAAAAUCCUCAAUCUGCGUCGCGCCCUGCAAAAAAAAAAGGCCACACGACCUAAAGGAAAAAAAAAAAGAAAUCAUUAGACAUACACAAAGGUCUUAACAGAAAACAUACCUGAAAAUCCUCAAUCUGCGUCGCGCCCUGCUAGAAAAAAAGAAAAGGCGACAUUAGACAUACACAAAGGCCUUAACAGAAAACAUACCUUCGAAUCUUCAAUCUGCAUCGCGCCCUGCUGGAAAAAAAAGAAAAGGUGACAUUAGACAUACUCAAAGGCCUUAACAGAAAACAUACCUGGAAUUCCUCAAUCUGCGUCGCGCCCUGCUAGAAAAAAAAGAAAGACAACAUUAGACAUACACAAAGGUCUUAACAGAAAACAUACCUGAAAAUCCUCAAUCUGUCGGCGCCCUGCUAAAAAAAAAAAAGGCCACAUGACCUAAGGAAUUUCUCAAUCUGCGUCAAGACCUGCUAGAAAAAAAGAAAAGGCGACAUUAGACAUACACAAAGGUCUUAACAGAAAACAUACCUGGAAUUCCUCAAUCUGCGUCGCGCCCUGCUAGAAAAAAAGAAAAGGCGACAUUAGACAUACACAAAGGUCUUAACAGAAAACAUACCUGGAAUUCCUCAAUCUGCGUCGCGACCUGCUAGAAAAAAAGAAAAGGCGACAUUAGACAUACACAAAGGCCUUAACAGAAAACAUACCUUCGAAUCUCAAUCUGCGUCGCGUCCUGCUAGAAAAAAAGAAAAGGCAACAUUAGACAUACACAAAGUCUUAACAGAAAACAUACCUGGAAUUCCUUAAUCUGCGUCGCGCCCUGCCAGAAAAAGAAAAGGCGACAUUAGACAUACACAAAAACCUUAACAGAAAACAUACCUGAAAAUCCUCAAUCUGCGUCGUGCCCUGCCAGAAAAAAAGAAAAGGCAACAUUAAACAUACACAAAGGUCUUAACAGAAAACAUACCUGAAAAUCCUCAAUCUGCGUCGCGCCCUGCUAGAAAAAAAGAAAAGGCGACAUUAGACAUACACAAAGGCCUUACCAGAAAACAUACCUGAAAAUCCUCAAUCUGCGUCUCGCCCUGCUAGAAAAAAGGAAAAGGCGACAUUAGACAUACACAAAGGCCUUAACGGAAAACAUACCUGCGAAUCUCCAAUCUGUGUCGCGCCCUGCCAGAAAAAAAGAAAAGGCAACAUUAGACGUACACCAAGGUCUUAACAGAUAACAUACCUGAAAAUCCUCAAUCUGCGUCGCGCCCUGCCAGAAAAAAAGAAAAGGCAACAUGAGACAUACACGAAGGCCUUAACAGAAAACAUACCGUCAAAUGUGACAUAGGCCACACCACCUAAAGGAAAAAAUGGAACCAUUAGACAUACACAAAGGCCUUAACAGAAAACAUACCUGCGAAUCUUCAAUCUGCAUCGUGCCCUGCCAGAAAAAAGAAAAGGCCACAUUUGACAUACACAAAGGCCUUAACAGAAAACAUACCUGGAAAUCCUCAAUCUGCGUCGCGCCCUGCUAGAAAAAAAAAAAAAAAAGGCCACACGACUAAAGGAAUUCUCAAUCUGCGUCAAGACCUGCUAGAAAAAAAGAAAAGACAACAUUAGACAUACACAAAGGCCUUAACAGAAAACAUACCUGCAAAUGUCCCAUAGGCCACAUGACCUAAAGGAAAAAAAAGGAACCAUUUGACAUACACAAAGGUCUUAACAGAAAACAUACCUGGGAAUCUCCAAUCUGCGUCGCGCCCUGCUAGAAAAAAAGAAAAGACAACAUUAGACAUACACAAAGGUCUUAACAGAAAACAUACCUGGAAAAUCCUCAAUCUGCGUCGCGCCCUGCUAGAAAAAAAGAAAAGGCAAAUUAGACAUACACAAAGGUCUUAACAGAAAACAUACCUGGAAUUCCUCAAUCUGCGUCGCGCCCUGCUAGAAAAAAAGAAAAGGCGACAUUAGACAUACACAAAGGCUUUAACAGAAAACAUACCUUCGAAUCUUCAAUCUGCGUCGCGCUCUGCUGGGAAAAAAAAGAAAAGGUGACAUUAGACAUACUCAAAGGCCUUAACAGAAAACAUACCUGAAAAUCCUCAAUCUGCGUCGGGCCCUGCAAAAAAAAAAAAGGCCACACCACCUAAAGGAAAAAAAAAGGAACCAUUAGACAUACACAAAGGUCUUAACAGAAAACAUACCUGGAAUACCUCAAUCUGCGUCGCACCCUGCUAGAAAAAAAGAAAAGACAACAUUAGACAUACACAAAGGUCUAAACAGAAAACAUACCUGGAAUUCCUCAAUCUGCGUCGCGACCUGCUAGAAAAAAGAAAAGGCGACAUUAGACAUACACAAAGGCCUUAACAGAAAACAUACCUGCGAAUCUCAAUCUGCGUCGCGCCCUGCCAGAAAAAAAGAAAAAGACAACAAUA
rnacentral:lncRNA from 1 species